rnacentral:rRNA from 1 species
UGAAUACGAGAUGCUACGGCGUCGAAGCAGUGUAUGUCAGACUUCCAAGAAAAGCUCGCAAUGUCAUAAAUAAAGAAUGCCUGUACCAUAACCGACACAGGUGGGUAGGUAGAGUAUACUAAGGGGCGCGAGAUAACUCUCUCUAAGGAACUCGGCAAAAUAACUCCGUAACUUCGGGAGAAGGAGUGCCUUCUUUAAGAAGGUUGCAAUAACAAGAUCCAAGCAACUGUUUAUCAAAAACACAGGUCUCCGCUAAGUCGUAAGACGAUGUAUGGGGGCUGACGCCUGCCCAGUGCCAGAAGGUUAAAGAAGUUGGUUAGCUUUUGCGAAGCUGAUGACUGAAGCCCUGGUGAACGGCGGCCGUAACUAUAACGGUCCUAAGGUAGCGAAAUUCCUUGUCGGGUAAGUUCCGACCCGCACGAAAGGCGUAAUGAUUUGGAUACUGUCUCGGAGAGGGACUCGGUGAAAUAGACUUGUCUGUGAAGAUGCGGACUACCUGCACCAGGACAGAAAGACCCUAUGAAGCUUUACUGUAACUUGAAAUUGAAAUUGGACUUUAUUUGCGCAGUAUAGGUGGAAGGCGUUGAAAGUAAUCUUGCGGGAUUAGUGGAGCCAUCAGUGAGAUACCACUCCUAUAAUGUUAGAUUUCUAACUUUGGAUCAUGAUCUGGUCAAAGAACAGUUUCAGGCGGGCAGUUUGACUGGGGCGGUCGCCUCCCAAAUGGUAACGGAGGCGUACAAAGGUUUCCUCUGAACGGGUAGAAAUCGUAUCUAGAGUGUAAAGGCAUAAGGAAGCUUGACUGUGAGACCUACAAGUCGAGCAGGGACGAAAGUCGGUCUUAGUGAUCUGACGGUGCUGAGUGGAAAGGCCGUCACUCAACGGAUAAAAGUUACUCUAGGAUAACAGGCUGAUCUCCCCCAAGAGUUCACAUCGACGGGGAGGUUUGGCACCUCGAUGUCGGCUCAUCGCAUCCUGGGGCGGUAGUACGUCCCAAGGGUUGGGCUGUUCGCCCAUGAAAGCGGUACGCGAGCUGGGUUCAGAACGUCGUGAGACAGUUCGGUCCAUAUCCGGUGUAGGCGUUAGAAUAUUGAGAGGAGCCUUCUUUAGUACGAGAGGACCGAGAAGGACAUACCUCUGGUGUACCAGUUAUCGUGCCAACGGUAAACGCUGGGUAGCUAUGUAUGGAGAGGAUAACCGCUGAAAGCAUCUAAGUGGGAAGCCCACCUCAAGAUGAG